GACGAACGCUGGCGGCGUGCUUAACACAUGCAAGUCGAACGAUGAAGCUUGGUGCUUGCACUGGGUGGAUUAGUGGCGAACGGGUGAGUAACACGUGAGUAACCUGCCCUUUACUUCGGGAUAAGCUUGGGAAACUGGGUCUAAUACCGGAUAUUCUGCGUGAUCGGAUGGUUGUGUAGGAAAGAUUUUUUGGUAAGGGAUGGGCUCGCGGCCUAUCAGUUUGUUGGUGGGGUGAUGGCCUACCAAGACGACGACGGGUAGCCGGCCUGAGAGGGCGACCGGCCACACUGGGACUGAGACACGGCCCAGACUCCUACGGGAGGCAGCAGUGGGGAAUAUUGCACAAUGGGGGAAACCCUGAUGCAGCGACGCCGCGUGGGGGAUGACGGCCUUCGGGUUGUAAACCUCUUUCAGUAGGGAAGAAGCGAAAGUGACGGUACCUGCAGAAGAAGUACCGGCUAACUACGUGCCAGCAGCCGCGGUAAUACGUAGGGUACUAGCGUUGUCCGGAAUUAUUGGGCGUAAAGAGCUCGUAAGUGGUUUGUCCCGUCUGCUGUGGAAACGUGCCGCUUAACGGUGCGCGUGCAGUGGGUACGGGCGGACUAGAGUGCAGUAGGGGAGUCUGGAAUUCCUGGUGUAGCGGUGAAAAGCGCAGAUAUCAGGAGGAACACCGGUGGGCGAAGGCGGGACUCUGGGCUGUUACUGACGCUGAGGAGCGAAAGCAGGGGGAGCGAACAGGAUUAGAUACCCUGGUAGUCCAUGCCGUAAACGUUGGGCACUAGGUGUGGGGUCCAUUCCACGGAUUCUGCGCCGUAGCUAACGCAUUAAGUGCCCCGCCUGGGGAGUACGGCCGCAAGGCUAAAACUCAAAGGAAUUGACGGGGGCCCGCACAAGCGGCGGAGCAUGCGGAUUAAUUCGAUGCAACGCGAAGAACCUUACCAAGGCUUGACAUGCACUAGACGAUUGCAGAGAUGUGGUUUUCUUUUUGACUGGUGUACAGGUGGUGCAUGGUUGUCGUCAGCUCGUGUCGUGAGAUGUUGGGUUAAGUCCCGCAACGAGCGCAACCCUCGUUCUAUGUUGCCAGCACGUGAUGGUGGGAACUCAUGGGAGACUGCCGGGGUCAACUCGGAGGAAGGUGGGGAUGACGUCAAAUCAUCAUGCCCUUUAUGUCUUGGGCUUCACGCAUGCUACAAUGGCCGGUACAGAGGGUGGCGAUACCGUGAGGUGGAGCGAAUCUCUUAAAGCCGGUCUCAGUUCGGAUCGUAGUCUGCAACUCGACUACGUGAAGUCGGAGUCGCUAGUAAUCGCAGAUCAGCAAUGCUGCGGUGAAUACGUUCCCGGGCCU
rnacentral:rRNA from 1 species